GACAGAGGGUGCAAACGUUGUUCGGAAUUAUUGGGCGUAAAGCGCGUGUAGGCGGCUUUGCAAGUCGGGUGUGAAAGCCCUCAGCUUAACUGAGGAAGUGCGCCCGAAACUGCUUAGCUUGAGUGCCGGAGAGGAUGGCGGAAUUCCCCAAGUAGAGGUGAAAUUCGUAGAUAUGGGGAGGAACACCGGUGGCGAAGGCGACUACCUGGCCUGUUUCUUGACGCUGAGGCGCGAAAGCUAGGGGAGCAAACGGG
rnacentral:rRNA from 1 species